rnacentral:RNase_P_RNA from 1 species
GGUAGCAGUGGCAGGAAGCAAAGGGACCCGCAAGGGAACCCAGGAAAGUCCGCCCACCUCAAAGCGCCACUUCCUAACGGAAGAAGGGGAAAUCCCUUGGCUCUGGCUUCAGCAACGACACGUCCUGCAAGAUGGGAUGAUAUGGCGAAGUCUCUUGUGAAAGAGAGGAGUUAAUCUGUUGACGUCCUUGCAGGGAACGAUGAAACGGCGAAACCUUCCAAAGUCACACUUUGGGUGUCUAAAUCAUGAGACAUGGCUGGUGCAAGUUCGUAUGAACGCUCAGUAGAAUGCUUCCAAUGGCCAUCGACAGGAGUCUUGUACUUUUGUUUUGGGCCUCACCAAAGGCGGCUUAUGCCACUCUACC